GUGAAUCAUCGAAUUUUUGAACGCAAAUUGCACUCUCUUCGGAGAGUAUGCCUGUUUGAGGGUCAGCCUAAAAAAAAUCGACAUAGUUGCUGUUUCGCGGUGACAUUCGGCGGAAAUUGGGUCAUCUUAAACCGUUCGGUUUUAAGGGGCUUAAAAUAUUCUUUACGAAUCCACGAACGAUUCUAAGAUUUUACUUCUUACACGUUUAAGGUAUCUAUCUUUAUUAGACGUGACU
rnacentral:misc_RNA from 1 species